GUUUCUUUCUUCAGAUUUGUCUCUAACAAGUUUUUUAGAUCACUUAUGCUUUUUUGUUUUUGGUUGUUGCAGACAUCAUCUUUCUUUCUUCACAUUUUUAAGGUUCAGUUUACAAAGAAAAGAAUACAGACUGGAGGGAGAGUGGGGCUACAGUUAAUGCUAUUUAUUAGAGAUAUUUGGAGGUGCUGGGGAAGCUGUUGCUGAUCUGAAGCAGCUGUUCUCCCUUGCUGAAAAGUUUGGUUAUGCUGAAUGGAUUGAAUUUGAUGCAUCUAUUGUCCGUGGGCUUGCAUACUACACUGGUAUUGUGUUCGAGACUGAUCAAGUUGAUGUCCGAAUAAAA